rnacentral:rRNA from 1 species
CGCGAAUGGCUCAUUACAACAGCUAUAAUUUACUUGAUCUUGACACAAUCCUACCUGGAUAACUGUGGUAAUUCUAGAGCUAAUACAUGCAUUAAAGCUCUGACCUCACGGGAAGAGUGCAUUUAUUAGAACAAAACCAAGCGGCUUCGGCUGUUUCUGGUUGACUCAUAGUAACUGAGCUGAUCGCAUGGUCUUGCACCGGCGACGUGUCUUUCAAGUAUCUGCCGUAUCAACUUUCGAUGGUAGUGUAUCUGACUACCAUGGUGAUCACGCGUAACGGAGAAUAAGGGUUCGGCUCCGGAGAGUUCGCCUGAGAAAUCGCGAACACAUCUAAGGAAGGCAGCAGGCGCGAAAAUUACCCACUCUCAGCACGAGGAGGUAGUGACGAAAAAUAACGAGACCGUUCUCUUAUGAGGCCGGUCAUCGGAAUGGGUACAAUUUAAACCCUUUAACGAGUAUCUAUGAGAGGGCAAGUCUGGUGCCAGCAGCCGCGGUAAUUCCAGCU